GCUGUUUUGAAGUGUUUGAGGGAGGACAUUCAAUGAAAGCAACCGGAUCUGUGGAGCACGAUGAAUUGAAUUCUUCACAAUGACAAUGCACACUGUCACCGAGCUCUCCUCACUCGUGAGUUUCUCACCAAAAACAAUACGACAUCACUUCCAC